GCAGUGCAACCUGUCAAACGGAGCUCUGUGAGUCUGCCUAUCUGUUGCUCAGAACAUGCACUGUUGAUCCCUCCUCCACCCAGAACCACUAGGCCCACACUGGAGGUCAGGGAGCAUCAAGGGCUCAGACUCAUCUCUCCCCACAUCACAGUGAUGCUCUGGAACCACACAUGAUCAAUUUCAGAGCAGGAAUAGCCAUUAAAUGGUAUCUCUGGAGGUAGCCAAUGGAGUAUUUCUCCCUCUUAGCUACCAAGUGUUUCUGUUUAGGAAACAGCAGUAAUAGGGAAAGCACAGUGUUGGUACUUUUAAACUAUAGGAAAAGAAAGUGGAAGAAGAAGCAAGCUUAAAACUGAUCUUCGGUAGUGCGGAGGCACUAGUUUGAACUAGGGCACACAUAGUGUUUGGGGGUCCCCAAGAAGUGUCACUGAAGAUCUUCUUGGGCAGUUCCAUGACUGGUUAGCCCAAGGGUGCAUGUACCACCUGAGAGGAAGUGCAUCCAUAAGGGUGAGCCUGGAUAUUCACAUCCACACCAGUUGGCCAGCUCACUGCAGAGAUGUCUGAUUAAGUCCUCUGUCCACUGCAGAGCUGCUUGUGCAGUGCUGAAUUACAACACUGCAACUACACUCAACCUUGGCCAGGGCAGCUAUGGGGCAGCCUCCAGAGACCCUCAGUUACAGAUUGUGUUUGGUGGUCUAGGAGUGAGCUGUACGUCAGGCAGGAGCAGAGUGGAAACUCCUGGCCUUCCCCAUUCUCCAUGUCCAAGGGUGUCCUGAUUUUUGAAGAUCUACAGAAAAGAAAAGGACACAUGAACCAACAGCAUCAUGGCAGCAGUGAAGCUUACAUGUCACCAGCAUCUCAACUCAGAUUUAUUGGUGCCAGAAGUACUUGGGUCUAAUCUUUCUUUCAUGUUGUGAAGUAGCUAUGCCAUGUCCUGAACCCAAGAAUCAUCUCAGGUCUGGUACAUGUGCUGUAUAGGCCUCAAAAAACAUCAAAUCUCACUAUUAUAAUAAAAAUGUAUAAGGCAUUCAAAGCUGACACUACAGUCAGUUCCAAGUCUUGCAGCAAAACUAUUGACAUUUCUCACAGCCAAAAUGCUGGUGAACACAUUGCUCUCCUCUACUGCGUGUUAGUUGCACAUUCCACCUGAAUUUUUGUAAUGACUCAAAGAUGUUAUGGGCAUUAUAGAUCUGUAGGCCUGGCAUUUUAAUUCUUGAAGGCCUGUGCUUUUCUUAAAGUUAUGAGUACAGUAGUCACAGCACAUCCACACAAUAUUGCUUACUCCAUUUAUUUUGAUAAUGAAACACAUAUAUUAACAGAUCGUAUUUGGCUGUGUGUGUUUAUUCUUGCCCACUUUGGAAGGUGUGUGCAUUUCCACUGUAUUAUUACUGAUAAAAUACAGCGCUACCAUUUAAAUCAUGCAGUUAUGGCAGUACAAACUAUUAAAUAAACCUUAAACUGGAAUUUGUUGAAUUGAAAUUCUUCACACAAGCUCACUGGUUUCUUUUUAAUAUUCUAUAAACAACUUAAUUUACAACAUAACUCCACUUCUUCUACAGCUUUCUUCUUACGUUUCAGCAUUAGUAGCAGUUGGUGUAUUUUCUUUCUUUGCUUUGCUUUCUUUUUCCUUAGAUGUAUAGUCAGUCUUUUGACUAAUAUAAUUGACUUAUGCAUCCACUGAUGUAUGCUGCAUUUUAAUGAUGACAUUUUUGUUUUGUCCAAUAAUAUAUUUUUUAAUAAGAUUGCUUGGAUUGUAUUCUAAGUGCAGGUGUGAGCUGUUGCUUUGUUUUUUAAUGAUCUGUGUAGACGUGGGCAAGACUUUUUUCCUCUGAAAGAUCAACACUCAGAUCAGACUAUUCAUUUUUAGGUGUUAAUACACUUGCAUGAAUUCCUUUGUAUAGGCUUGCUGAACUGUAAUUAGCUUUCCUAUUAUGUUUCUCUCCUCCACAUUAAAAUAUUGAAGUCCAUGAAACCCAUACCUUUUGGAUUUUUUUUUUCUAAUAAAAUAAAAAUAUAUUUUAAUGUCAACACAGUUUAAGCCUGGUCUGUAUGAAACAGCACUAGUCCAUUAAAAUUAUUGCAUAAGUAUAACAGUGAGAUCAGAAAUAAAGGAGUUUAAAAAAUAACAGUAAUUUAUUGAAAAUACUUUUACUGAAAUAUAGCAUUAUGAGAAAAUUCUGACAUAUUUGUUGCUUAGAACAAAUAUUGACUGGUGGAUUAAGAAUACAGUUUUUCUUAUCAAGAAAGUCCUUUGCUGAAUGAUUGGUUUAGCUGAUCUGAGAAACAGGAAACCAGAAAGUUCAAUUUUCUUUUUUUUUUCUAUUUAGAACAGGUUUUCCAUGGUAGUGAAAUUAUUGUGGCAAUGACUAGAACUUAAUAUGCAGCCACAGUCUGCAGCAUUGUAUUCUACCAAGUAGCACUGAGUUUAUUUUAUUGAUUCAUUGCAUUUUUUCUUUCCUGAAACUGCUGUUCCCCAUCUCAUAUGUUACACUUUAUUUAAGCAUGGUACUAUUUUACCAAAGAUGGCAAUUUUUUUAAAUUUUGCUUGGGGUUGAGAACACUCAAAUAAUAAUAAGAGCAUCACAUCUCGCGUUAAUUUUUCAUGCAUAACUAGGCUGCCUCAAUUUACAAGACAGUAUGGAUAGAUAUAUAGUAGUUGUUAUGAUUAUUUUUUUCCACAUGCAUUCUACUGUUUCCUCAUAUGUUUUGCAUUGCUCCCAGACAAGAUAAAUUUUAGAAGUCUAAGUCAUGAUGCUCAGAGACCUACAGACAUUAUUAAGAACAGUCAGAAAUUAUGAGCGUUUAUAAACACAACAGGCCCAAAUUAAGACCCUAAGUUUAGCAGCUGGAAGCUUUCUGAGAUUAAUUACUACAUGAAAAGAAAAAAUAUGUAAGGAACGAUGCACUCAAUGUAUGCUGUACCCUCAACUUAAAGAAGCUACCAGUGGAAUAAAAUAUUGGUCAAUGUGAGUAUAGAUAGUAGCAUCUGGACCUUUAUCCUUAAGUCCAAACAAAUAACACCUGGACUUCUUUGGAAGAUUCUGAGAUAUUUGAAUAAAGUCAGGUAAAAAAAAUCCUAAGCACAGCGAAUGUUUUGAAGGUAAGGAAAAUAAAAGGCCGUAUCCUGCAGAACUGGGCUGAUAACAGGUAGGAAAAUAUUUACUUUUGUUUCUCUUCUUAUUUAUUUCCUCAUCCUUUCCAUGGGUAUCACAGACAGCAAUAAGAUCAUUCAAUUUUUUGCAGGUGUGUUUUAUUUUCUCUCUCUCUCCUUGUCUAGAUCAACAAGUGCAAGCAUUUACAGUAGUUCAUACUGUGCUGGCAUCAUUGCUGCAACUGCAGUAACCUGGGACACUGUUACCAUAAACAUUUCAAUAGUAACCUUAAUAAUUCCAAUACUUCAUGGAAACAGUUGCACUGGUGUAGUAGAUACUGCCAGCAUAAUUCACAAUAAUCUCACAAUCCUUACAAAGCCUACUCUGUGCAAUUUCCUUCUUCUUCACAUUAUUCACUUGUUCUGAACCACUUGUUAUUUCAUAUAGUGAUGAAUACCAGCACAUUUAGUUCAAAUAAAAUAAUCUUUCCAGAUAUUGAUUGGAGCUCUGACUAAUCCCCACUCCAUGAAUCUGUUUUAGGACCUGUUGGGAAGCUUCCCCAUAAUGCAGUGCCACUAAGUUUUGACAAACAAACUUCUGUGUUGAUGUAACAAACAAUUUCCAUGUGCACAGAGGUUUGCUGAGACUUUUUCACACUGCUACAAGUUUAUUCACUCUUUUAAAAUGUGACAAGCUCUGUAGAUGUGAAAAAGACCUUUCUAGCAGAAACUGAACUAUUCACUGGAAGAGUGUGGUCAAGAUUCCUUGCCAUCUCAAUUUCACUCCUGUUUUGUUUGCUUAUUUCCUUUUGUUGUGCAUUGUUAUGAGUGAAGCCUUGAAGUCCUGGAAGCAGAACAUCCAGAUUAUUUUCUUUCAGUAUGGCACAGGAGAACAAGAAUAGUCCUUUCCUGAGGGAAGGAACAGCACAGCAUUGAGAACAGUGUUGGGCUCCUGGUUUCUACUGACCGAUAGGGCUAAUAAUGUCACUUGCAGUGACAGAUAAAACUCGAGAAUUACUAGUUAGUUUCUUCUGGAUACAGCAUUUUUCUCCUAAUUGUACUUUAUUUUUCAUCAUUUCUUUUCAGGCCUUCUCCUUUUCUAAUCCUUUGCCCAUGUAUUGCCAUUUUUUCCUUCUUUCUUUCCAUCUUCUGUGUUUCUAUUUAUCCAUUUCCUCCAGCUCAUUUUUCUCAACUCCUUAUUUGACUCUACAUUAAUACCACUCAUUUUCUUUUGGUUAUUUUUAUUGAAAGCAGCAUCUCUAUAUUCUUCAUACUUAUAUGUGGAAAGGGAGCUGGAGGCACUGCAAAGACCAUUCUCCAGUUCAGAUCCUAAGCCCAAGAAGGCUCAAGGUGAGCAGACCACUGACUCGUAUAAAGCUCAAAGGAUUAUGACUGUGGAAGUAAUUUCUUCUGGGAGAAAGUUAUUAAUGGAGACCCUCAUAAGUUCAUGUGAGAACCCACAUUGUUUCUUUUCAACCUAGGAGCUCAGGAAGAGUGCACCUCUAGCAAAGUUUGCAGAUCACACCACCUUAGAUGGGAGUGCCUCUCUCACCAGAGGACAGGUUGUUAUUCAGGAGGACAUCAGUAGACUGCAGCAAGAUAUCAGCAGCAACCUCAGAAGAUUCGGUAAAGUGUCCCAGGAGAGCCUCAUGGCCCAUUCCAAAAUCAAGAUCCUUUGACAUCUGUUACAAAAAAACAAAGAGAAAGUCAACGAAUAUCAACUGCAUGAAGGGGAAAUGGGAGCAAGAAUGGAUUUAAAAGUUUUUGUAGUGUUGAAAUGGGAGUGUUCUUUGACCUUUCUUUAUCCUAAUUAUUGUUUAUUAAAGAACAAAUGGUGCUAAAAAAAUAUACACUUACUUGUGGAAUUAACCAUAAUAACAUGGCAUUAUGAAAUAUUUCAUAAUUUUGUAAUUGUUUAAAGUAAUGAUGUUUAGUGAACAUAAUUCACAGUAAUUCCCUUAUUCUUUCUUUGUUUAACCAAUAAUCAUCUUUGUAAUAUGUAAUAGAAUCAUGAACUAAACAAAACUGUACACGUAAGUGUUCAAAACAUUUCCAUUUGUCUUUUGUUUCAGUAGGAAUCCAAAACAAAGUUAAUCUGAUCAGCGGGGAUCAAUAGAAAAAAAAACUUCUCCAACCUAACUACCUCCAGCAACUCAGGUAUCCACAACCAUCAAAACUGCCACAGAAGAUUA